UACGGGGGGGGCAAGCGUUGUUCGGAAUUACUGGGCGUAAAGGGCUUGUAGGUGGCCAACUAAGUCAGACGUGAAAUCCCUCGGCUUAACCGGGGAACUGCGUCUGAUACUGGAUGGCUUGAGUGUGGGAGAGGGAUGCGGAAUUCCAGGUGUAGUGGUGAAAUGCGUAGAGAUCAGGCAGAACACCUGGGGCGAAGGCGGCCGGCUGGGCCGACCCUGACGCUGAGGCGCGAAGGCGUGGGGAGCGAACGGG
rnacentral:rRNA from 1 species